rnacentral:lncRNA from 1 species
CAUCCCCUGUCAUGUGUGUAUGGAAACCGAGUUCACUUUCUCCUGGGCAAGCGGAGAGGGGGCUUCUGAUCUGAGGGGCAAGGGGAGGAGGGCAGAGCGUGUGCCAUGGGACUGGGCCUCCUCUUCCUCACCGUGCUGGUCGUGCUGGUCUUCUGCGAGGACCCGGAAGGUAACAGGGUGCUUGGGGGAAGAGGGGGGCUUACAGGGUGCCCCAGAGCUGCUGGCACCUGGCUGGACCAGUCUUCCCCAGCAGGGAGCAAGGCCUUUGUCACAUCCCCGUGCCGAGGCUUGGUUCGGGGGAAGCAGGGGCUGGGGGCUGCUGGGGGCUGCACUCCUCGCCGCAGCCAGGGUUGGGGGUGCGCUGAGGCGAGCCUUUGCUGGGCUUGUACCACCUGCCUGCAGGUUGCUGAGGAGCUGAUGGGAAGGGUGGUCCUCAGCCCCCCGCCCAGCCCUGCUCUGCCUUGCUCCCUGUGGCACCAGGAGACCUGGAUACUUACUGGUCUGGCACAGCGCCCAUCUGCUUGGGGGGCUGCAAGGGGAAGCACAAGGAGCUGAAGAGGAGCCAGUGUGGGAAUGGCAGCUGCUGCUGGCUGGGCUACAAGUCCUUCUGCAGAGUGAACUGCGGGCGACCCGAAGCGGACUUCAACUCGGUGGUGUACGGCAACGACUGGUGGGUCGGCUCAGUGGUGCGGUACCGCUGCCGGCCCGGGUUCCUGCUGCUGGGGGACCCAGCCAGCGCCUGCCAGUCCGACGGCCGCUGGACCCCCAAGCCCACCUGCCUCCGGAUCUGCCUGCGAGGUCGGAUUGAGAUCAACGAGCGGGACAUUACCGGGACGUGCUCUUCAUCUUGCAGCACCCAGGCCCACCUGGGAGCCUUCCUCAACCGUGGCUGCAUCAAGAUCUCGGCCUGUGUCACCAAGCACUCGGGCUGGGCACGCUGGUUCCUGCGCUGCAACAUCUGCGAGUGCGACUGCCACGUCCCAUGCGCUUCCUCCGGGUAGAGCUGGGCCAUCUGGGGCAGUGGCCACUGGCCCCAUGCCGAGGGAGGCUUCCACCCUGGAUGUCUGCUUCCCUUCGCCACGUGUCUCCAUCGCUGCCCUCCUUCCAUAAGCUCUGUCUGUCCCAAGGCUGCCGUCUGAGAGGAGAUGAGAUGUUUGGACAAACUCCCUUGCAGGGCUGCCUUCCUGCCCGGCCCCGUGCCGUGGCUCCCCAGCAGCGGGGGAUGAUGCUCUGGGAGCAGCAGGCGCUGGGGAGCUGCGUGGGUUUCCUGCAGCUGGGCUUGGGGGUGUUGGUGUUUCAGCCUCCGUUUGUCCGGCUGCUUCCUAGAGGAGGCUUAGUGUCCCCUUUUGGGGGGAGGGGGGUAGCGUGCGUGCCAGUGCCUGUUGCAGACGUGUCUGUCCCAUCUGUGCUGCAGGGUGUGAUUUCUCCCUGCCAGGUAUUUCCCGCGUGGGCCAGGCUCUGGGCUGAGAGGUGGAUCUGCCCUCCGUGCCUGCUGCAGGCACCGGGCACAGCUGGAGUGUGGGGUCUGCCCGCUGUCCCGACACCAUGGGCAGGGGUCUCAGGGCAGAGCAGCCUGGCCAGGGCUGCAUCACCCCUUGCUGAGGAAUCAAGUGUUACAGUGGGACAAACUGCCCUACAGCCUCGCCGGGAGCUCUGGGGCCAGAGCAGCCAGCGUGGGGGGGAAGGUCGGGGCUCGCAGGUGCAAAGUCUCUCCCAUGGCCUGGUCCACACGCUGGCUGCAAGGGAUGCUCCUGCCAGGGAUCUGCAGUCAUUGAGCCCCUUUCCCCAGGGACUUACUUCUGGGGGACACAAAGAGGCAUGGCAGCUGAUGCUCUGCAGCCAAGAUGGGUAAGGAGGUACAAUGGGGGUGUCCUGAGCACAGCAGGGCCCUUUUUGGUCCUGUAGCUGGAGAAAAAGACCUGGAGUGUGGCCUCCCAGUGACUCCUUCCAGGCACUGAAGAAGGGAGCUGAGGCUGUGGCCCCUCACUGCCUACCGGGGGGGUUGUUAGCCUGUGCGUGGCUGCUAUUAACGUGGCCCUUAGCAGGAGCAGCUGCCUCGGGCACAUCUGUAACCCUGUGCUGUGCCACCUCUCUUCUCAGGGGUGGGUUUCUGACCAGGCUUCCCUCCCUAAACUCUUUGUUGUCCCCACUAGCCCUUCACUUCUCACUGCCACAAUGCUCCGUGGGUUGCAUUGGUGCUGAUGCUGGUACCCAGCCUUGUGCCCCCUGGGGACCGCCCUGGCUCCCUCUGAAGCAGCACUGGAAAAGCCAGAAUUUUUAUUCUCCCAGGGAAGGAGAGGAAGGUGGUCUGGAGCAAGUGUGAUGGGGCUGCCAGUGGAGCUGAAGGACCAGCAGCGCCACCGUGGGUAAUUAAAAUGUUUACAGGAAAUCAUCCAGGUUUUCCUGUCGUGCAAAGAAAUUUUGCUGCUUGCUCUGUCCCUGGAGCCCUGGACAUACAUGACGGAGCCAGGACAGGUUCCCUCUGCCACUGCUACCAUGUCAGCCACCAUGGGGCACAUGGCUAUGGUCAAGGCCACUGUAGGAAGGCCCUAGCUGGGAACCAGAUGGAUGCUGAAUGUGCCCAUGGCACUGGCCACCAGGCCCUUCUGGGCACUGGCCUCCCGUCCCUGCUGCCUUCCACCUUGGAACACCCCCCCAGCAGGAUGCUGCAGCAGCACCUGCCAGCUGCUGUACGGCCACCAGCUGAGUCUCGGGGGCUCCUGACUCAGCCUCAAGCAGCUGAGGAGGGGCUGUAGCACCCAGGGGGCUACCCAGGCCCUGCUGGUGCCCACCUGUAGGGCAGCACAGCUGUUCUGUGCUGCGCAGAGUGGGCCUGGGCUGAUGGCGAGUGCCCUGGGGGUGGGAGGCAGGGUGCUGAGUGCAGAGCAGACUGGAUGGGUCCAGCGUGCCUUUUGUUCCAUGAGGAGAUGAUUUAAGACCUCUCUGCGUGGAGCUUGGCUCCACGGCCACCUCCUCGUGCCCUCCGCUCGCCCAGCCUCGGGGCUGCCCUGCCCCACAGUCUCUCUUCUGGCUGGAUUCGGCUCUGCCAAGGCGCCAGAUCUCUGCCCCAAGCUCUGUCCCAGCCCAAGGCUGGCUGUGGGAGGGGAAAGCUUUCCUUGGCUCAACAGAUGGGUUUUUAAUUAAUACUCUUGUUAGUGCCACUCAUUUCCAUAUGUCUUUCGCGUUUAAGUGCCGUGGUGGGUGAGAGGUGUGAGUAACAUCGAGGCUGGAGCCAGGCAUGGUGCUGCGGGGGGUGGAAGUGUGUGGGGGGGGCNAGCCCUGGCUCCCAUUGUCUGCUGUGGGGGUCCCAAGCAGUGCUCUGCUGCAGCCCCCGCUUGUGCUCCCAUGGGGGUGACCUGUCCCAGGUCAGCGCAGGGCUGAGGGGGGGACAGGAGCGGAUUUAGGGGGUGCUGGGCUGUGGCGGGGGUUGGGCUGACAGUGGCAGCGGGGUGGUGGGCUCUGUCCUGUACGCGAGCGGGUGGUGUGGAGGUGUUCGGGGACAGGGUGGCAGGGACAGGGCUGCGAGCCCCAGGCUGGUGCGCCCGGCUUGCUCGGGGCCUUCUUGGCUUGCAGGGAGGGGAAAUAGGGCCUGUCCCUUUAAGAGGAUUUUUUUCUCUGCCUGGCAGCGCUGGGCAGCCCAUCCUGCCGCCCCGACAGGCAGCAGCAGCAGCAGGAGGGACAAAGCUGGCGGAGAGGGGCACGGUCGAGCAGCCGGGCCCGGGGGGCUGCUAGCCACCGCUGGGGGUCGGACCCCCCGCCCAGCGCCCAGCGCAGCCCUGCGGAGGAUGGGGAGCGGAGCCCGGCUGGGGACCCGCGGGGGCAGCGCCCCGCCCGGCUCCCGGCGCUGAGCGCCCCCCCGCCCGGCCGGGGGUCCGCGCCGCGCCCCAGCCCCCGCCGCGGGCAUCGCCCCUUUGUCUGCGCAGGAGGGAGAGGCGGGGGGCGCUGCGGCGGAGGCACGGCCGCGCUGCUGGGGAGAGGAGCCGCAGUCCGCCAGGUGAGCCUGGGGACCCCUGCCCCGGGGACCCCCGCCCCGGGGACCCCCUGCCUNCCCCCCCCCCCCCACAACCGCCGGCCCCGGGGCUGGGCUGAGCCGGGCGAGCGGCUUGCGGGAUUUAGCGCUCCUUGUAACGCCCAGCCAAGGAGUCAAGGUGAGCCCGAGGGCGCCUUGUGCCUGGGGUGUCCCCCCCGCUCCCCGAGCCCCCCAUCCCCGAGCCGCCCAUCCCCGCUGUGCCCAGACCCUGCGGCUGCGGGCGGUGGGGGGGCUGAGGGCUGGGACCCCGCAGUUCUCCUUCCCCGGGCUGGCUUUCAUCCAGCCCUGAAAGGGCUCUGUCCGCAGCGGCGGGAGAGGGCUGGGAUCUGGGAGGAUCCGGGAGGAUCCCGCUUCCCUGUCCAAGGGCUCCUGUGUGUGCAUUGCAGCUGCAGCCAGGAGCCGCCUGCAGCCUGCGCUCAGCAAAAUGUAGGUUAGCGAAGCAUUAGGACCCCAGCCUUGGAGGCGAGGUGGGUGCUGGGCCCAGCCUGCUCGGGCUCCCUGUGCUGCGGGGACCCCCAGCUCCCUCCCUGGUGCUGCAGUGGGACCUGGGGUUAGGGUGCUCCCCACCCUGCCUGGCUUAGCAUCACCCAGCACCGCAGAGCCCUCAGGCCAAGCGGGGAUGAGCCUGGCUGUGCUGCAGGCGGCUGUGGGGAGGGUUGCAGGCAGGAGACACCGCCGAGACGGAGUGUUGGGGCAGGUGCGUGUGUGAGCAUCAUGCGAUGGUCCCAGUUAAGCACUGGCCUGAUCUCUGAGGCUGUGCUGGUAAGAGCUGGGAAGGUGGGAUGAGCCAAGGGAGGCAGGGAAGGGUUGGCACUAGCAGGGCCCCCUCCCUGUUCUGUUCGGUCUGUCCCAGUGAGCCCAUGGGGACCCUGGGCACCCGCCGAGGGUCUACCAGAGCCAGGACUGCCCUGUCCUAAGAGCCUGGGUAAGGCACAGCGUGCUUUGUCCGAGAAACUGCCUGGAACAAGCUGCUUGCUUGGGACCCUGCACCCGUGUCCCCUGGCCAGGCCAGGCAGCGGUGGUUCCUUGUGAGCCCUUAGGGACGUCCAGGCACAGCUGGGUGUCCCUGUCUGAGGGCAGAACAUCAGCUCUCCCACCUCCCAUCCUGUGCCCACCAGGGUGGACAGGAACGGAGGAGGGAGCCGAGCAGCAGCAGGGCCAGGGCAGCUGAGCAGCCUGCCAGCCCCGGUGCCAGAGCUGGACCCAGCUGCAGGAGGUACGUGAAUUAUUGACUGUGGAGCUGAUCAGCUGCCUCGUGUCGUGAGCCCCUUGCUGCAGGCUCUGCUGCCCUGGCCAGGUCCAUCCUUCAUCCAGCUGUAGGUGCCAGACAUCACGGGGUGGACAUGAGCAACAAGAGCUGGAGCUGGUGGGAAAGGGUGUGGGAGGACUCGCUGUGGGCUGGUCCCUGCAGUCCCUGGGAGAAGGGCCCGCUGUGAGCUGA